GAUGAAGAACGCAGCGAAAUGCGAUAACUAGUGUGAAUUGCAGAAUUCCGUGAAUCAUCGAGUCUUUGAACGCACAUUGCGCCCCCUGGUAUUCCUGGGGGCAUGCCUGUCCGAGCGUCAUUGCUGCCCAUCAAGCACGGCUUGUGUGUUGGGUCGUCGUCCCCUCUCCGGGGGGGACGGGCCCCAAAGGCAGCGGCGGCACCGCGUCCGAUCCUCGAGCGUAUGGGGCUUUGUCACCCGCUCUGUAGGCCCGGCCGGCGCUUGCCGAACGCAAAUCAAUCUUUUCCAGGUUGACCUCGGAUCAGGUAGGGAUACCCGCUGAACUUAAGCAUAUCAAUAAGCGGAGGA
rnacentral:misc_RNA from 1 species